UACGUAGGGGGCGAGCGUUGUCCGGAUUUAUUGGGCGUAAAGAGCGUGUAGGCGGCCAGGUAGGUCUGCUGUGAAAACUCGAGGCUCAACCUCGAGACGUCGGCGGAAACCAUCUGGCUAGAGUCCGGAAGAGGAGAGUGGAAUUCCUGGUGUAGCGGUGAAAUGCGCAGAUAUCAGGAAGAACACCCGUGGCGAAGGCGGCUCUCUGGGACGGUACUGACGCUGAGGAGCGAAAGCAUGGGGAGCGAACAGG
rnacentral:rRNA from 1 species